rnacentral:rRNA from 1 species
UACGUAGGGUGCAAGCGUUAAUCGGAAUUACUGGGCGUAAAGCGUGCGCAGGCGGCUAUGCAAGACAGAUGUGAAAUCCCCGGGCUCAACCUGGGAACUGCAUUUGUGACUGCAUGGCUAGAGUGCGGCAGAGGGGGGAUGGAAUUCCGCGUGUAGCAGUGAAAUGCGUAGAUAUGCGGAGGAACACCGAUGGCGAAGGCAAUCCCCUGGGCCUGCACUGACGCUCAUGCACGAAAGCGUGGGGAGCAAACAGG